CUCUUAGAAACUGUUUUGAGAGAUAACCUGAACCUGGUAUUCCUUGUGACACUUGUGACUUUGCACUUCCUUAUGACUCUUAACUGGUAUCUUUGGUAUUUUCCAACAACGCCCUCCCCACUUCCUUGAGUUGUGGUUUCUCCCUUUAAAUACCCUCUUAUCCAGCUACUCGGGGCAUCAUGUUCCUCUACCCCUGCGUGGUGUAUGACCGUGGGCCCUAGAGCGCUCUUGAAUAAAAAUCCUCUUGUAGUUUGCAGCAAGACCUUUUCUUGUGGGUGAUUUUGGGGUGUCGCCUCUCCUGAGUCAGAACGUCGGGGAGUCCUCACGUUGUGGGUCUUUCAUUUUCUCUCUUUAGCCAUUGUGAGAACUUGCCCAUCUUGACUAGAUUAUUUAUAGAGAAGGCAUGUAGGACCAAGUCCAGCUGCUGCCAUGAAGCCUACCUGUAGUACCCUUAGCUUAUCUCUGUCUAGAGGACCAAACGCCCUGAGAUCACUGGCAGCAGAUCCCUGAGUAGGAUGGAUGUUGCUCAGCGUAGCUGUAGAUGUUGUCCUGUUGGUUAGCCAGACUUACUCAAAGGGCUCCUAGCCAUGAACAUGGGAUCUUCAGAGCUGAGCUUUGUUUAAUGAAACAGUUAACACUUUAGCUCACAGUCAGUUUUAACCUCUCAGCCUAUAUUCUUAGGUAAAUCCUUUUGCAGCAUUCACAAAUAUGAGAACUAGGAAAGAUACUCUAAAAGGUUAUGGGCAAAUUCUGGUCCCCUGAACUGUUUGUUACUCAUUGAUUAUCAAGGGGGAUCUUAGGGCAAACACCAGAAGGGAUGCUAAAAUGUAAAUGAGACUGCUCUAUAUAGCAAGACUUAUUUUCUCAAGCACAUGUUACUUCAUUAAAAGGUCUCCUUUUUAAAUGUUUCUAGAUUUCUAUUGUUGGAGAAAGUUUAUGUAACCACCUUUAGACAAAGCUAUGCUACAUGCUGAAGAGAGGACUGAGGGAAUUUGCUUAGUGGGACCAUUACUUUCUUUGUACACAAAACACUGUUGGGAAGAAGGUCUGUGUACUGCCUAAUUGUUUUUUUGGGCUCUGGUGGUGCUAUAUAAGGGCAGGGAGCAUGAAAAAAAGUGGGAUUAUGGUUAGAGACUUAAGAGACAUAAGUGGAAUUGUACCAUUUAAUAGAAGACAGAGAAUGGGGUAGGGGUGUGUGACAGUUUGAAAUGAAAGAACUCCAAGGAAAUGAGGUUUUAAUGCCAUGGGCAGAAAUGGGAAAGAGGUCGGAAUAAAUGUCUCUACAAGUUUUGUUUGAAUUUUCUUUACUUUAGAAAACCAUACAUUUGAAACAUUAUUUAACGUAUGUGUUUUUAAAAACAUACCACCGUUAUGAAACUGAUGUUAUAGAUCCCAACCUCAGAGUUCAAUUGACUUCCUCAAUUAAGGCUUUUUCCUGAGGCUUCCAUUAUCCAUAGUUAACUGCAGCAUAAAAAUGUUGUAUGGAAUUCUAGAAAUAAUUUCCAUUUGUAGUUAUACAGUAUUUGUAUAACAAAUAUAGCAAAACAGACUCAUACUAUUUCAUUCUGUGCCCAACCCCCAUCCUACCUAUCAGGAUGUAAAUUAUCCUUUUGUCCAGAUAUUUAUGCUGUGUCACCCAUUAGAUGCUUAGUCCUGGUUGUCUGAUACAAUGUCACAGAAUCACUGUGCCUGUGCACAAGUCACUCUUAAUUGUACUUAAUAAUAGUCAUGAAAGCAAGAGUCAGAGGCACUCAGGCUUACAACCUGGAAAGGCACAUUAAUUCUCUAGUAGAUGGCAAAAAUGUGGCACAUGUAGGAAAAAUACCUAUUGAGCAUUCAAUACUAGUGUGACUUCAGGUACCCACUGAGGUGUGCUUUUCCAUGGAGAGGAGUCAGUGUCACAAGUGCACAAAGAAAUCUGCUAUGGAACAGAAGUGUAGUGUGGUGAGUACAACAGAGGAAUCUCAGGACCUCCAAGGCCUUUUGCCACCCAUAUCAUUUACUAGCUGGAUAACUGACAGUCCAACCAUACACUUACCCAGUAGAGAAAAGUGUCUAAUGGUGGAAUGCUCAGAAUCCAGGACUCCUAAUCUCAGGAUUAGGUAAGAAAAUAAAUAUUAAGAUAUUUGGCACAGGGUUCAGAUAGAAACCUUAGCUGAAAUACUGGAGCACAGU
rnacentral:lncRNA from 1 species